rnacentral:rRNA from 1 species
UAAAAAUUAAAUUCUUAACGGGGGAUCAUUCGGCUUGGGGGUCGAUGAAAGACCCCAGAAACUGGGCAUUGAAUUGGGAACUGGAGGACCCCUGAACCUUGACGCUUUGAACCCCCAUUGGAACCAAAAUCUAACGGGGGUCCAUUCUUUUCCGGNUCUUNUU